rnacentral:hammerhead_ribozyme from 1 species
AUCCAGUUGAUGAGUCCCAAAUAGGACGAAGUGUUGCGCAUCCAGCAU